AUUGAACGCUGGCGGCAUGCCUUACACAUGCAAGUCGAACGGCAGCACGGGGCAACCUGGUGGCGAGUGGCGAACGGGUGAGUAAUGCAUCGGAACGUACCUUUCAGUGGGGGAUAACGUAGCGAAAGUUACGCUAAUACCGCAUAUUCUGUGAGCAGGAAAGCAGGGGAUCGCAAGACCUUGCGCUGAUUGAGCGGCCGAUGUCAGAUUAGCUAGUUGGUGAGGUAAAGGCUCACCAAGGCGACGAUCUGUAGCGGGUCUGAGAGGAUGAUCCGCCAAGCUGGAACUGAGAAACGGUCCAGACUCCUACGGGAGGCAGAAGUGGGGAAUUUUGGACAAUGGGGGCAACCCUGAUCCAGCCAUGCCGCGUGAGUGAAGAAGGCCUUCGGGUUGUAAAGCUCUUUCGGCCGGGAAGAAAUCGCACGGGCUAAUACCCUGUGUGGAUGACGGUACCGGAAUAAGAAGCACCGGCUAACUACGUGCCAGCCGCCGCGGUAAUAC
rnacentral:rRNA from 1 species